rnacentral:rRNA from 1 species
GGGAAGGUUAACUGGCAGUUCGAGGGGCAUCGGGAGGGAAGCUUGCUUUCCUUGCCGGCGACCGGCGCACGGGUGAGCCCUAAAAGGCAACCUGCCCUCUUCAGGGGGACAACCUUCCCCUAGGGAGGCUAAUCCCGCGUAUAUCGGUUUCGGGCAUCCGGGAUCGAGGAAAGAUUCAUCGGAAGAGGAUGGUCCCGCGGAGCAUUAGCUUGACGGCGGGGUAACGGCCCACCGUGGCGACGAUGCGUAGGGGUUCUGAGAGGAAGGUCCCCCACACUGGUACUGAGACACGGACCAGACUCCUACGGGAGGCAGCAGUGAGGAAUAUUGGUCAAUGGGAGAGAUCCUGAACCAGCCAAGCCGCGUGAGGGAAGACGGCCCUAUGGGUUGUAAACCUCUUUUGUCGGAGAACAAAACCCGGGACGUGUCCCGGACUGCGUGUAUCCGAAGAAAAAGCAUCGGCUAACUCCGUGCCAGCAGCCGCGGUAAUACGGGGGAUGCGAGCGUUAUCCGGAUUUAUUGGGUUUAAAGGGUGCGUAGGCGGUCCGUUAAGUCAGCGGUAAAAUUGCGGGGCUCAACCCCGUCGAGCCGUUGAAACUGGCAGACUUGAGUUGGCGAGAAGUACGCGGAAUGCGCGGUGUAGCGGUGAAAUGCAUAGAUAUCGCGCAGAACUCCGAUUGCGAAGGCAGCGUACCGGCGCCAGACUGACGCUGAGGCACGAAAGCGUGGGGAUCGAACAGGAUUAGAUAC